UCCUUUGCCGCCAUCUUUGUUGAGGGCAGAGACCAUGUAAGCCCAGACGGUCUUUCGGUGCAAUUCCACUUUCUCCUCCACGCUUCACGUUCUCAAGCUAUGCUGGAAAGGGAUGAGAAAGAGUCGGAGCCGAAGGGUGAACUUUACUGAGGCUUGUCGAGCGUCGCGCCGCUGACGUCACGACCGGCGCCUCCGCCAUCUUAGUUGUGGCUAAGGAGGUGGCGGUUUCGGAAGUGCGGCUUGUGCGCUGCUGUGUCGAUGCUGAGACGAUGUGGGCUUGGCGUGGUGCUGAGCCUGGUCGCGGCGGCGGCGGCGGUCGUGGCCAUGUGGUUGGUGGACUGGUGGGGUCCCCGCCCUGGCCUUCGCCUCUUCGUACCCGAGGAGCUGGCCCGCUAUCGCGGCGGCCCGGGGGACCCGGGUCUGUACUUGGCGUUGCUCGGCCGCGUCUACGACGUGUCCUCUGGCCGGAGGCACUACGAGCCUGGGGCGCACUAUAGCGGCUUCGCAGGCCGGGAUGCAUCUAGAGCGUUUGUGACAGGAGACUUUUCUGAAGCUGGACUCGUGGAUGAUGUAACUGGCUUGUCCUCCUCUGAGAUACUGAUACUUAAAAAUUGGAUUUCAUUCUACGAGAAGAAUUAUGUAUUUGUCGGGAGACUGGUUGGAAGGUUCUACGGAGAGGAUGGGCUGCCCACUCCAGAACUAACCCAGGUGGAGGCCAUGGUGGCCAAAGGCGCGGAGGCAAGUGAACAGCAACAGAGGGAAAAGGGCAGGUUCCCUCCCUGCAAUGCCGAGUGGAGCUCUGCUAAGGGGAGCCGGGUCUGGUGCUCCCGGAAGAGUGGAGGUGUGAACAGAGACUGGACUGGUGUCCCCAGGAAGCUGUAUAAGCCAGGGGCCAUGGAGCCCCACUGUGUGUGUGUGAGAACAACUGGCCCCUCUAGUGACCAGCAAGACAACUCUAGACACCUAAAUCGUGGGGACUUGGACAACCCCAACUUGGAAGAAUACCCAGGCUGCUCACCUCUGGCCAUCGAGUGUUCCUUCCCACCCUAAGAUGGUGUCCUGUAUGUUGAUGACACAUGGAGAACCUUCCCUAGAUCUCCAGAAAGCCCUUAAUAUUUAUGCUCUAGGAGGCUCCGGGCAGGAAAAUAGGAGGAUCAAGGACUCCACCCUCACUCUGCAAAUGUGUUUCACAAUUCUGUUGGCUGAAACAGGAGCAUGAUAACCUACCUGGUAUGGUCAGUUUGUCUUGACACUAUUUGGAACCUUGGCCCCUGUCAUCUUCCUUCAGAGCCUGCAGUCAUUCAUGAACACAGCGUGGUGAUCAACAUAGACCUGCCUGGAGAAAGUCUGUGAGCUCCAGCAAGGCACUUCCCACGGACUCACUGCUGCCCUGAUGAAAGCCUGGGCUCUGCCAUCAUGCCAGUCCUGCUGAGACUUGGAGCAGUAGCAGAACAAGACUGUGGCUCUCAGCAGAGAAGCAGGCAUGUCCCAAGAAGCCUCGAAUCUUGCAGAAUCAAGACUCCAAAGAAACAAUGCUGCUAAGCGCCAUGGUCCCAGAUGAUGCUGUCAUUCCCACACUGAGCACCACCAGAGUGGUUUGGAAGCCAAAGUGAUCUAUCCAAACAUGUGCCUGCAGUUUUAAAGGCCCAGCUGCUGCCUUGUCCUUGGUCCUACAAGGAUGUCACAGAACACCCAGCUCCACACGGCUCACAAACAGGCAAGUCAGUAAGUCCAGCCAUCCCCAGACUCCCUUGCUAUAGAAAACCAGUGCUGUCAGUUGUAACAGUUAAUGUAUUAUUUACGCCACACGAAAGAGGAACUGUAUAGGCAGUGAUCCUCCAGAGAAAGGCUUUAAGGCAUCUUUGACCUUGGGAAUUUAACUAUUUAGUUAACCAGUCACACACUCAGGUUUUCAUUAGAUCAGUUCUGUAGUGAGCAUGGCUCAGAGGCCUUUGCUGAGCUGCUUCCUCUGUUGGGCUGGCAAGGGAACUCUUUGGCUUCAGGUGGCUCUAGGGGGCUGGACCUGAAGGAAGCCCGUGUUUGUGAGGGAGGCAUACAUGUACUUGUACAUGAUGCUAUUGCUGCCUCUCAGGCCGAAGUAUUUGGCAGUUCAGCCAAGUUCUUUUCUCCAAGUAAGGAAAUCCUAGAUGGAGGCUUUGCCAUCCACCCCUUGUCUGCGAACAAGCCUAGGGCUGGAACAGUUGAGUAUGGGGGGCAGGCACGACUUGGGAAGGGCAGUGAGACCACACACCCAGUUCCCUGAAAGACCCAUUCAAGGAAAAGGAGGAAGCUGACAGUCAGAAACAACUCAGGGCUCUGAGGUAGAGGAUAAAAACAUCAUGUGGACCCCACUCCUUGGAGAGAAUAUGGCAGGUGAACUGAGCAGUCUAAUAUUCAGCCUUGACUGAAUUGGUUUUUGGGGUGGAAUAGGCCCAGAACUAGUGUUGUAACACAUCACUGAGUGAGACACCAGUGAAAGACAACUGGAAACAAGGGAGUCCUCAGUGUAGGCACUUAAGCUGGUGGGACAUCGCUGUUAGAGGAUCAUAGCAAACUAGUUUCAGCACAUGGUUUGUACCUGUCUUUAAAAAAACAAAAGCCCUAAUGAUGCAGUACACCGUAAGACUAGAGAUGCAUAAGAGCAGUUAAACAGCUAGGCAAGCACAGCAGUGCUAACUGAUGCAGCAGUUGUGUUUCAGUGAUGUUGAUUCUUCCUGCUCUGCUCAUUCACAACUGGCAACCUUUUGAAUUAAUAAAAUGAAGUUUUGCUGCAAGUUGUCAAGGUACUGAUUAAGACUGAACAAGAACAGCUAAGCAGUUUCAUGGUGAAGUCUGGUCAGCACGGAGAGAGCACAGGAAAGACACAGAAGUCUGGUCCUGGCCAGGGCAGUGCACAGCAGGAGUGUAGGGCAGGGAGCAUGGAUGGCAUGGUCAGGCUGUGCAAGGAUGCCUGAGCCAUGUCUACAGCAUGGGUACCAAUGCCCAAGUCACACAGCCUCUUUCCGCCAUAGCUGGUCACUAUGUUGACCUCUGAAGGAAUAGAAGCUUGAACCCACAUAUUUUGGGGCAUGAUCUUCAGGUUUUAAGUACAGUUAUAGGCAAAACUGUUACUGAAACUGGUGUUGUAGGGCAAGGACAAAAUGGUCGGCUUCAUCCUGAUUUCCUAUUUUCCCCUCUCCACUGUGAUCAUAAAAAAAACAAGUUUAUGUGUACCAACCACCUUGGUUCAUAGCAGAACCAUAAUUACCUUCCUCAUUAAAAAAAAAAAAAAAAAAAAUCAUGGUACCAACUAAAUUCUAGGGCUCUGUGAUC